GGAAGGGAAGCGGAGCAGAGAGAGCGAGGUGCGCAUGCAGGAUUGUGAUGGGAUGUGUUGGGGGAGAUAGGUGGGCAUUGAAAAGGGGCGGAGAUGAAGGAGCCAUUCAAUUAUGGAAGCGUACUCAGGAAGCGGGAGUCCACGCCUUCAGUUAUGUAGGCUAGAUAUCACUGACGUGUGGGCCUUGUAGCAAUUGGGCCCACUCCGCAGUGACCCCUUGUAUUAACAUUUUAUCAUUUGCUUCACUAUUUACUUACUCUACAAUGAACGGACCUUUUUCAAAUGUGUCCAACGUACCAGGGGCUUAUGAAUAUGCAAGUUGGAAUCUUUUAUGGUCGAAUGUGUAUCAUAUAGGUGUAUCAUAUAUAUGGCAUAUCAUAUAGGUGUAUCAUGUUAAAUGUCACACCUGCUUUGCCUUGAG
rnacentral:lncRNA from 1 species